UCAACAAGUUCGAACGCGAGCCUAUGGAUUACAAGGACUAUUACAAAGUCCUCGGCGUCGCACGCGAUGCGAGCCAGGAAGACAUCAAGCGCGCCUAUCGCAAAUUGGCGCGCAAAUUCCAUCCGGACGUGAGCAA
rnacentral:misc_RNA from 1 species